rnacentral:rRNA from 1 species
ACCGGCGAUACCCGAAUGGGGAAACCCAGUGUGUUUCGACACACUAUCAUGUCAUGAAUACAUAGUGGCAUGAGGCGAACCGGGGGAACUGAAACAUCUAAGUACCCCGAGGAAAAGAAAUCAACCGAGAUUCCCCCAGUAGCGGCGAGCGAACGGGGAGGAGCCCAGAACCUGAAUCGGCUUGUGUGUUAGUGGAAGCGUCUGGAAAGUCGCGCAGCAAAGGGUGAUAGCCCCGUACACUAAAAUGCACAGGUCGUGAGUUCGAUGAGUAGGGCGGGACACGUGACAUCCUGUCUGAAUAUGGGGGGACCAUCCUCCAAGGCUAAAUACUCCUGACUGACCGAUAGUGAACCAGUACCGUGAGGGAAAGGCGAAAAGAACCCCGGCGAGGGGAGUGAAAUAGAACCUGAAACCGUGUACGUACAAGCAGUGGGAGCACCUUCGUGGUGUGACUGCGUACCUUUUGUAUAAUGGGUCAGCGACUUAUAUUUUGUAGCAAGGUUAACCGUAUAGGGGAGCCGUAGGGAAACCGAGUCUUAACUGGGCGAAUAGUUGCAAGGUAUAGACCCGAAACCCGGUGAUCUAGCCAUGGGCAGGUUGAAGGUUGGGUAACACUAACUGGAGGACCGAACCGACUAAUGUUGAAAAAUUAGCGGAUGACUUGUGGCUGGGGGUGAAAGGCCAAUCAAACCGGGAGAUAGCUGGUUCUCCCCGAAAGCUAUUUAGGUAGCGCCUCGUGAACUCAUCUUCGGGGGUAGAGCACUGUUUCGGCUAGGGGGCCAUCCCGGCUUACCAAACCGAUGCAAACUCCGAAUACCGAAGAAUGUUAUCACGGGAGACACACGGCGGGUGCUAACGUCCGUCGUGAAGAGGGAAACAACCCAGACCGCCAGCUAAGGUCCCAAAGUCAUGGUUAAGUGGGAAACGAUGUGGGAAGGCAUAGACAGCCAGGAUGUUGGCUUAGAAGCAGCCAUCAUUUAAAGAAAGCGUAAUAGCUCACUGGUCGAGUCGGCCUGCGCGGAAGAUGUAACGGGGCUAAACCAUGCACCGAAGCUGCGGCAGCGACGCUUAGGCGUUGUUGGGUAGGGGAGCGUUCUGUAAGCCGUUGAAGGUGGCCUGUGAGGGUUGCUGGAGGUAUCAGAAGUGCGAAUGCUGACAUAAGUAACGAUAAAGCGGGUGAAAAGCCCGCUCGCCGGAAGACCAAGGGUUCCUGUCCAACGUUAAUCGGGGCAGGGUGAGUCGACCCCUAAGGCGAGGCUGAAAAGCGUAGUCGAUGGGAAACAGGUUAAUAUUCCUGUACUUGGUGUUACUGCGAAGGGGGGACGGAGAAGGCUAGGCUAGCCGGGCGACGGUUGUCCCGGUUUAAGCGUGUAGGGGGUGUGACCUGGUAAAUCCGGUUGCAUAUCAACCCUGAGGCGUGAUGACGAUGCACUACGGUGCAGAAGUAGUUGAUGCCCUGCUUCCAGGAAAAGCCUCUAAGCUCUAGGUAACAUUGAAUCGUACCCCAAACCGACACAGGUGGUCAGGUAGAGAAUACCAAGGCGCUUGAGAGAACUCGGGUGAAGGAACUAGGCAAAAUGGUGCCGUAACUUCGGGAGAAGGCACGCUGGCAUGUAGGUGAAGUCCCUUGCGGAUGGAGCUGAAGCCAGUCGAAGAUACCAGCUGGCUGCAACUGUUUAAUAAAAACACAGCACUGUGCAAACACGAAAGUGGACGUAUACGGUGUGACGCCUGCCCGGUGCUGGAAGGUUAAUUGAUGGGGUCAGCCGCAAGGCGAAGCUCUUGAUCGAAGCCCCAGUAAACGGCGGCCGUAACUAUAACGGUCCUAAGGUAGCGAAAUUCCUUGUCGGGUAAGUUCCGACCUGCACGAAUGGCGUAAUGAUGGCCAGGCUGUCUCCACCCGAGACUCAGUGAAAUUGAACUCGCUGUGAAGAUGCAGUGUACCCGCGGCAAGACGGAAAGACCCCGUGAACCUUUACUAUAGCUUGACACUGAACAUUGAGCCUUGAUGUGUAGGAUAGGUGGGAGGCUUUGAAGCGUGGACGCCAGUCUGCGUGGAGCCAUCCUUGAAAUACCACCCUUUAAUGUUUGAUGUUCUAACUCGGCCCCAUAAUCUGGGGUGAGGACAGUGUCUGGUGGGUAGUUUGACUGGGGCGGUCUCCUCCCAAAGAGUAACGGAGGAGCACGAAGGUUAGCUAAUCACGGUCGGACAUCGUGAGGUUAGUGCAAAGGCAUAAGCUAGCUUGACUGCGAGAGUGACGGCUCGAGCAGGUACGAAAGUAGGUCUUAGUGAUCCGGUGGUUCUGAAUGGAAGGGCCAUCGCUCAACGGAUAAAAGGUACUCCGGGGAUAACAGGCUGAUACCGCCCAAGAGUUCAUAUCGACGGCGGUGUUUGGCACCUCGAUGUCGGCUCAUCACAUCCUGGGGCUGAAGUAGGUCCCAAGGGUAUGGCUGUUCGCCAUUUAAAGUGGUACGCGAGCUGGGUUUAGAACGUCGUGAGACAGUUCGGUCCCUAUCUGCCGUGGGCGUUGGAAGAUUGAGAGGGGUUGCUCCUAGUACGAGAGGACCGGAGUGAACGCACCACUGGUGUUCGGGUUGUCAUGCCAAUGGCAUUGCCCGGUAGCUAAGUGCGGAAAAGAUAAGCGCUGAAAGCAUCUAAGCGCGAAACUUGCCUCAAGAUGAGUCUUCCCUGGGCCUUUAAGGCCCCUGAAGGAACGUUUAAGACUAAGACGUUGAUAGGCUGGGUGUGUAAGUGCAGCGAUGCAUUGAGCUAACCAGUACUAAUGAUCCGUGAGGCUUAACCUUACAACACCGAAGGUGUUU